rnacentral:rRNA from 1 species
UUGCAAAGGUACAUAAUAAUUAGCUCAUUGAUUGUGAGAUCGUAUGAAUGGGUGGAUGAGAUGGCAAUUGUCCCAGUUUGUGAUUAUUGAAAUUAAUUUCUCAUUGAGAAAGAUGAGAUUUCCUGGUAGGACGAGAAGACCCCGUGAAUCUUUACUUUUGGGUCAAGUUUUUGUUGCGUCUUGACCCAAAAGUUGGGCUGGGGCGGCUACUGAUUAUAAACUUCUGAGUUUUCUAAGUUUUGGUGUGAAUUUAUUUUUAUUGAUCCUUUGUUAAGAUUAUCAGAACAAGUUACUCCGGGGAUAACAGCUAAUUGUUUUAGAGAGUUCUUAUCGGCGAAGGAGCUUGCGACCUCGAUGUUGGAUUAAGUUUUAUGUCGGGGGCAGUACCUCGUAUGUUUUUAGUCUGUUCGACUUUAGUAACUUACACGAUUUGAGUUCAGACCGGAUCUCACU